ACCGAGAGGUUCAGCAGCAUUCUGGGGAACAAGGAUCGACUGCGACCGCACAUGGAAGAGAGGAUAUGCGAUGUGAUGCAGCCCUCUGUUCCCAGUCCUUUGAAGAGGAGUCUGCCAACCCAGGGACGGUCAGGGUUUGGCUGUUGUGGAUUCCCAGAUGAUUAGCGGACUGCAGCCUGCCAGAGGAAGUAUGCAGAGUUCAGGGACGUACUGCGGCCAACUCCGGCGUUGAAGGUACGGGGUUGGACUGGCCUGGUUGCGUGGAAGAAGAGCAGACCGUCACCAGUAGCAGCAGUUCUGUGAUGCACUGCGGUCAAUCCCUGACGUGCAGCAGAGGAGGAGAUGUAUGCUGACCCGGGAGGAUCCCAACAGCAGUCAAGCAGGGAAGAGGAGGAUGCGCAGCAAGCAGCAGAGCCCAGCCCAGCCCUUCGCAGCCCAGCCCCGGAUCCAGCGCAGCCCACACCAGCCAGCCCAUCCCACCAGGAGAUCCAGUGCCGCGACCAGGCAGCCUAACAGAGAAGCAUUUUGAAUUUAUUUCUUUCCUUCUGUCUCUUCUCUAUCUUCUUAGCACUUUCCUAAUCUAACACAACUAACCAUCCCCUACCCCUUAACAUUGAUUUUGUUGUAAUUUCCUUGAAUUUGUGUGCUUUGUUUCAUUGUUUUGAAUUUUUACUAAUCUCGUCUCAGUUGUAUAUUUUCAGGCACUCGGACGUGGUACAACGCGAGAGUACUCAGCCAG